rnacentral:rRNA from 1 species
GACGAACCGUGCGAACGUUAUUCGGAAUUACUGGGCGUAAAGCGCGUGUAGGCGGUUGUCCAAGUUGGAUGUGAAAGCCUUGAGCUCAACUCAAGAAAUGCAUUCAGGACUGGAUGACUAGAGGACCGGAGAGGAUAGUGGAAUUCCCAGUGUAGUGGUGAAAUACGUAGAGAUUGGGAAGAACACCAGUGGCGAAGGCGGCUAUCUGGACGGUUUCUGACGCUAAGACGCGAAAGCGUGGGGAGCAAACAGG